AUUGAACGCUGGCGGCAUGCCUUACACAUGCAAGUCGAACGGCAGCACGGGUGCUUGCACCUGGUGGCGAGUGGCGAACGGGUGAGUAAUACAUCGGAACAUGUCCUGUUGUGGGGGAUAGCCCGGCGAAAGCCGGAUUAAUACCGCAUACGAUCUACGGAUGAAAGCGGGGGACCUUCGGGCCUCGCGCUUUCGGGUUGGCCGAUGGCUGAUUAGCUAGUUGGUGGGGUAAAGGCCUACCAAGGCGACGAUCAGUAGCUGGUCUGAGAGGACGACCAGCCACACUGGGACUGAGACACGGCCCAGACUCCUACGGGAGGCAGCAGUGGGGAAUUUUGGACAAUGGGCGAAAGCCUGAUCCAGCAAUGCCGCGUGUGUGAAGAAGGCCUUCGGGUUGUAAAGCACUUUUGUCCGGAAAGAAAUCCUUGGCCCUAAUACGGUCGGGGGAUGACGGUACCGGAAGAAUAAGCACCGGCUAACUACGUG
rnacentral:rRNA from 1 species